GAUGAACGCUGGCGGCGUGCUUAACACAUGCAAGUCGAACGGGAUCCCAGGAGCUUGCUCCUGGGUGAGAGUGGCGAACGGGUGAGUAAUGCGUGACCGACCUGCCCCAUACACCGGAAUAGCUCCUGGAAACGGGUGGUAAUGCCGGAUGCUCCAGUUGACCGCAUGGUCCUCUGGGAAAGCUUUUGCGGUAUGGGAUGGGGUCGCGUCCUAUCAGCUUGAUGGCGGGGUAACGGCCCACCAUGGCUUCGACGGGUAGCCGGCCUGAGAGGGCGACCGGCCACAUUGGGACUGAGAUACGGCCCAGACUCCUACGGGAGGCAGCAGUGGGGAAUAUUGCACAAUGGGCGCAAGCCUGAUGCAGCGACGCCGCGUGCGGGAUGACGGCCUUCGGGUUGUAAACCGCUUUUGACUGGGAGCAAGCCCUUCGGGGUGAGUGUACCUUUCGAAUAAGCAC
rnacentral:rRNA from 1 species